AUUGAACGCUGGCGGCAUGCCUUACACAUGCAAGUCGAACGGUAACAGGUUAAGCUGACGAGUGUCGUACGGGUGAGUAAUGUAUCGGUACGUGCCCAAUCGCGUGCGAUAACUACUCGGAAGAGCACCUAAUACCGCAUCCGACCUGAGGGUGUAUUCGGGGGCUCGCAAUACCUCGCGCGAUUACAGCCGCCGAUAUCCCAUUAGAUAGUUGGUAAGGUAAUGGCUUACCAAGUAAACGAUCUGUAGCUGAUCUGAGAGGACGACCAGCCACACUGGGACUGAGACACGGCCCAGACUCCUACGGGAGGCAGCAGUGGGGAAUUUUGCACAAUGGGCGCAAGCCUGAUCCAGCAAUGCCGCGUGAGUGAAGAAGGCCUUCGGAUUGUAAAACUCUUUUGUCAGGGAAGAAAAGGUUCUUACUAAUACCUGGAAAUCAUGACGGUACCUAAACAAUAAGCACCGGCUAACUACGUG
rnacentral:rRNA from 1 species